rnacentral:rRNA from 1 species
ACGCUCGACACCUACGGGAGGCAGCAGUGGGGAAUAUUGCACAAUGGGGGAAACCCUGNUGCAGCGACGCCGCGUGAGCGAAGAAGUUAUUUCGGUAUGUAAAGCUUCUNUCAGCAGGGAANAAACUGACGGUCCUGACUAAGAAGCACCGGACUAAAUACGUCGCCGAGCAGCCGUGGUAUCNGNGCGGCUGGCGAAGGC